rnacentral:miRNA from 2 species
AAUCACUAGCCACACAGCCAGG